rnacentral:lncRNA from 1 species
AGGAACCUAAUGGAUAGUACACCAAGUAAGGUAGAGAUUGAAGAAACAACAGAGAUGAGUAAGGAUAAUUAAAUGGUUUAAUUAUUUAUGGCAAGGAUUAAUUAAUAUGUUAAUUAAUCAAACGAAUAAAGUUCGUUAAAGACCUCGGAUUAGUUUUGGGCCUCAAGGCCCAAUGGGCUUCGAACGUCAAGCCCAUUGACUUAAGUUGUAUGACAACUUAAUGACUAAUAAUUCACGAAGGCUCAAACAACCCAAUAAAACCCUAUGGCCGGCCAUAUUGAUAAAGGAGUGGGUUUUGAACUUAUUACAAGGUUGCCACUCCAAUGAAAGUAGGUAUAAAUAUGACUUUUCAGCCUUUUCUUCAUUAGGGUUUCUUUUGCAGAAAAGAUGAGAACACAAGCUCCCUUUUCUCUCUAAGAGGCCGGCCACCCUAGAGAAUUCUAGCUAGCAAUCUUACUUCCUCUAGGUCACUCAUCUCUUCUUCAAGUCCUUCCUUGGUGUGGAGAUUUAGAAGUUCUCAACUUUGGGAACUUGGAGAAUCCUUUCAACCAUCUUCAUCCAAGAAAUCCAUGGAGCUAAGAAGCAAGGAAUGAAGGCCCUCUCCUUGGGUGAUUAGCCUUUACUUAUGCAAAGAGGAAUCUUCAAAGGUAUAAAGUUUCUCAACUCACUUUGUUUUGAGUUAAGUCUUGGUUCACCCUUCUACUAGGCUUUGAAUUUCAUGGGUAAUGUUUUGUUUUUGAGUGCAUACAAGCAUGAUUCCACCUUUAAAUGUUAAUUGUGUGCCAUAGAUGUUGCUCAAAUGAACAUGUUUUUCACAAAAUUUCCUUCAAGUGGUAUCAAAGCCUAGGUCUAGUAGUUGGUGAAUCCUUUUGGGUUUUGUAUUUUCAUAGUUUAUGAUUUGAAUGUUGUAAUUGUUACAAGCUUUAUUCUUGCUUCUUUGAAUGUAAAUUUUGUUAGAAAAUUUGCCAUCUCAAAUGUUGUAGAUGUAGUUCAUAUGAGCAUGAAUUUUGGAGCUAAAAUUUGGUGCCAUGUUUUUGGGGAAAUUCGGCCAAAUCCAAAGGGUGGAUUUUUGGGUUCAUGUUUGUCUUGUUAAAAGUGUUUUAAAGUGACAUUAGGAACCCCUAAGUACCCUAGUAUGGUAAUAUGUUUUUUUCCUUAAGUUUGAGAGUUUUUGGGGUGUCUUUGGGUGAAAAAUGUUCAUGGUGCUCUUAUGGGUUUUCAUGGAUGUUUUUUUCCUCAAAUGUUGUAAAAGAGCAUAAGCUCUUCUUUAAUUUGAAGUACUUCUUUCUUGCUUUAUUUGAUAUGCAUGAAAAUGAAGUAGAGGGUCCAACGCCCAAUAAGAAAACAUGCCUUAAUGUGAUUAAAUGCGUAACUAAAAUCAAUCACCAUCCCUAGACCGAGAUUCAACACUAGGCUCGUGUUGGAUCGAAUCAAAGGUUCAUAGUCAUCCUAAGGCCCUAAGGCAACUAUAUAGUCCAUCAAUGAAUGCAAACCUUAUUUUAGUAGUACCAUAUACUCUUGCUUUAAAAACCGUUUUACAAGCAUAGUGGGAGUAUCAUAUACAACUAAAUCAAUCACAUGGACCAAUAGUUGUAAUAGGACCAAAUUGUUUUGGUAUGAUUAAAAUGCAUGCUUAUAUGUGAUGAGACCUAAAACCCUCAACCAAACCAUUAUUAAGUUGAUAAGCGUGAGAGUGCUUUGAACACUCUUUUGUGGUCUUCCACCGUGGUAGGCUCCGAUCGUUUGUGACUCUUGUACGGACUUCACCCUAUCAUGGGGGAGUACAAAGUGUGUGCUUACACUCAGAAGGAGUUCUAUAUGCAUACACGAUGUUGUGUAGGCAACGAGAAUGAUCAACAUCAUAUGAUUGUGAGGUUGUUCUUGAACCCCUACAUGAACUUGCAUGGUGGGAAUGACUUAACUAAGUGCAAUGGAGCCAACAUCAUAUCAUUGUGAGGCUUCAAUCUCUAGAGGCUAAAUAAGAUGGGUACUUGCAAGAGAUGCAAAUGAGUAAGCGUACUUUCUCAUUAUUAUUGAUGCUAGCCAACAUCAUAUCAUUGUGAGGUGGGCUUGGUAAUGAUGAGUCUCCCAUACCCUACUAAGAGUUUCCUCCAAAACUCUCGAAUUCCGAUGAGGGAUAUGGAAUUUGCCAAAAAUAGUGGGUGGUGCUAUUUGAUUUAAAGACCCGGAUCAAAUGGGUUAAAAUCAAUCAAUUUAUAUUCAUUAUGUAUUUAUUUACCAAUAUAUUUGCAAACGCUAUGCAAAACUUGGCAAAGAAAAAGCCGAAAGCUUUAGUUUCUGGCCUUGGUACUACAAUCCCAUAGAUUGUCUUUAAUGGCUUGUAUAUGUACCUAUGUAGUCUCAUCCUCACAAUCUUCCUAUUGAUAAUGUAUCAUUGGAAGAACAUGUUAGAUAAGUCUAUCAUAAAGAGGACAACACUUUUAAUGUCAUAAUUCUUCAAUUACAAAUUGUUGUAUGAAGAAAUAAGAGUUGCUUUGAACAACUCUUAGUUAAUGCAAAUAUUAGUGCUUGUUUCUUUGUUACAUGAACAAGGAACUUGAGAAGUAAGCACAAGGGCAUGGACACUUUAUGUGCCAUGAUUCUUCACUUACAAAUUGUUGUAUGAAGAAAUGAGAGUUGCCUUGAACAUGUUGGAAGUAUGCCCACAAAGCCACUCAUUUGAUGUAAUAGCUUUUUGGAAUACUUAAUGUAUUAAACUUUU